UACGUAGGGUGCGAGCGUUAAUCGGAAUUACUGGGCGUAAAGCGUGCGCAGGCGGUUUUGUAAGCCAGAUGUGAAAUCCCCGGGCUCAACCUGGGAAUGGCAUUUGGGACUGCAAGGCUUGAGUGCGGCAGAGGAGACUGGAAUUCCUGGUGUAGCAGUGAAAUGCGUAGAUAUCGCUUGGAACGCCGAAGGUGAAAACAGGUCGCUGGGGACGCGCCGACGCUGAGACACGAAAGCCAGGGGAGCAAACGGG
rnacentral:rRNA from 1 species